rnacentral:rRNA from 1 species
UAAUACAGAGGGUGCGAGCGUUGUUCGGAAUCACUGGGCGUAAAGCGCGCGCAGGCGGGCGUGUAAGUCAGAAGUGAAAUUCCGGGGCUCAACCCCGGAGCUGCUCCUGAUACUGCACGUCUGGAGACCGGUAGAGGCUGGUGGAAUUCCCGGUGUAGCGGUGGAAUGCGUAGAGAUCGGGAAGAACACCCGUGGCGAAGGCGGCCAGCUGGGCCGGUUCUGACGCUGAGGCGCGAAAGCGUGGGGAGCAAACAGGAUUAGAUACCCUGGUAGUCCACGCUGUAAACGAUGGGCACUAGGUGCCGGGGGGAGCGACCCCUUCGGUGCCGCAGCUAACGCGUUAAGUGCCCCGCCUGGGGAGUACGGCCGCAAGGCUG